ensembl:lncRNA
AAAUUUGUAUAUCUCGGAAAGCCAGUUCACUAUUAAUAGCCAAAGAAUCCCACUUGAUUCUCAACACUUGGUACUCCAACAAAGUUGAUUUGGAAAGGGCUGCUAGAGCCUUGGAGAAGGAGUCUGAGUCUGCUGACUCAGAAAUUGGGAUGAUUUCUCUGUGGAUCCUAUAAGGAGCCUGGAGAUGGUGAAGAGAAUGCCUUGACCAUCAGGAGACAGCUUACCUUAUUGAAUCUUGAUCACUUCUUCUGACCACUUUGGAUAUUAAAAGAACAAGGGAUUAUGGUGACUAAUGGUGACAACCAAGAACAGGCUUCAGAAAGAAAGCAGCUGUGUUGCUAUGGCCAAAUUGAACUUCCUGAGUCAGCGUCCUCACAUGUAAAAUGGACAAUUCUAUUGAAGGAAAUUGAAGGUCUUACCCACUCCAUCCAAGGAACUGAUGAGAGAACCCCAAGAAGGUUGCAUAGAGUGAAUGAGAACACUGCCUUGAAUCUGCCUAAGAAUGAAACCAAAGAACAGAGGAAAGCAGACCUAGGAGAAGGAGGGAAAGAUAACAUCCCAAUAAUAGCAUUCAAGUUUCUGGAUCCAAGCAUGUCUGCUGCUGGACAUUACUCCUGGUACUUCUUGUUACAUGAUCCAGUGAAUGGCAAUUCGUGCCCUCCUCUCCCUAUACGUUUCCUCCUUUUUUUGCUUAAGGUAUUUUGA